rnacentral:RNase_P_RNA from 1 species
CGAGUAAGCCAGACAGUCGCUGCUGCAUAAUUUGCAGGAGAGGAAAGUCGGAGCUCCAUAGAGCAGGGUGCUGGGUAACUCCCAGUAGAGGCGACUCUAAGGAUAGUGCAACAGAGAGAUACCGCCAAAGGACUUUUUAGGGACUUUGGUAAGGGUGGAAAGGCGAGGUAAGAGCUCACCAGCACACUGGUGACAGUGUGGCUAUGUAAACCCCACUUGGAGCAAGAUCAAAUAGAGAAGCAGGAAGAUUAACUUCCAGGGGCUGCUCGUCCCGCUUCCGGGUAGUAUCGCUAAAGCCUAUUGGCAACAGUAGGCUUAGAUAGAUGACUGUCUAAUACAGGACUCCGCUUAUAGACUUAGUCGCUUG